AUACGUAGGGUGCGAGCGUUAAUCGGAAUUACUGGGCGUAAAGCGUGCGCAGGUGGUUUUGUAAGUCAGAUGUGAAAUCCCCGGGCUUAACCUGGGAACUGCGUUUGAAACUGCAAGGCUAGAGUGUGGCAGAGGGGGGUGGAAUUCCGCGUGUAGCAGUGAAAUGCGUAGAGAUGCGGAGGAACACCGAUGGCGAAGGCAGCCCCCUGGGUCAGCACUGACGCUCAGGCACGAAAGCAUGGGGAGCAAACAGGAUUAGAAACCCCAGUAGUCC
rnacentral:rRNA from 1 species